rnacentral:snRNA from 1 species
GUGCUGGCUUCGGCAGCACAUAUACUAAAAUUGGAACGAUACAGAGAAGAUUAGCAUGGCCACUGCACAAGGAUGACACACAAAUCUGUGAAGCAUUCCAUAUAAGA